rnacentral:lncRNA from 1 species
AUAUUGUAGUUUUAAUUUGCAUGUCCUUUAUGGAUGAUAUUAUUGAACAUGUUUUGAUAUGCUUAUUGACCAUUUGUAUAUCAGCUUUGAAGAAAUGUCUAUUCACACUCUGACAGUUCUUUAAUUAAGUUGUUUUUCUACAUUUUGGAUUUUUUUGUGGACUCUAAAUACAAAUUUCUCAUCAGACAUAGGUAUUUUUAAACUUUAUCACAUUUUGUACAUUUUCUUGAUGGUGUCAUUUGAAGCACAACAUUGUGAAUUGCUAUGAUAUUUAAUUUCUCUAUUUUUUUCCCUUUUGUUACUUGAAUUUUUGGUGUCACAGGUGAAGCACUAUUGCCUAACAAGCCCAGCACUAUUUGUUGAAAAAAUGGUUCCUUCCACAUUUUAUUAUCCUGCCACCUUGUCAAUAAUCAAUUGACCAUAGAUGUAAGAAUUCUAGUCCAUAAAUGUAUAGAUCAAUUCUAACCCAUUGAUCUACAUUUCUGCCCUUAUGCCAGUACCAUACAGUCUUGAGUACCCUAGCUUUGUAGUACAUUUUAAAAUUGGGAAGAGUGAGUUCUCUGAAUUUGUUCCUCAUUCUCAAGAUUAUUUUGGCUAUUCUGGGUCCCCUUUGCAUUUUCUUAUGGAUUUGAGGAUGAAUUUGUCAAUUUCUACAAAGAAAUCUGAGAUUUUGGUCGGGAUUGUGUUGAAAAUGUAGAUCAGUUUGAGGAAUAUUGCCAUCUUAACAAUACUAAGC